rnacentral:rRNA from 1 species
UACGGAGGAUCCGAGCGUUAUCCGGAUUUAUUGGGUUUAAAGGGUGCGUAGGCGGCCUAUUAAGUCAGGGGUGAAAGACGGUAGCUUAACUAUCGCAGUGCCUUUGAUACUGAUGGGCUUGAAUGUACUUGAGGUAGGCGGAAUGUGACAAGUAGCGGUGAAAUGCAUAGAUAUGUCACAGAACACCAAUUGCGAAGGCAGCUUACUAAAGUAUGAUUGACGCUGAGGCACGAAAGCGUGGGGAGCAAACAGG